rnacentral:rRNA from 1 species
UUAGUUGGUGGAGUGAUUUGUCUGGUUAAUUCCGUUAACGAACGAGACCUUAACCUGCUAAAUAGUUACGCGAGCCUGCUAUUCGUACCUCACAUGCAAGCCCAAAGGGUAAUUCCUGCAAGUUUGUUUGUGUGGGUCAGCUUGGCUCUGCGGCAAACUUCUUAGAGGGACUAUUCGUUUCCAGCGAAUGGAAGUUUGAGGCAAUAACAGG